AACGAACGCUGGCGGCGUGGAUAAGACAUGCAAGUCGAGCGAGAUUUUUUUCUGUAGCAAUACAGGGAAAAGUCUAGCGGCGAACGGGUGCUUAACACGUGGGCAACCUGCUGAAAAGUGGGGGAUAGCUCGCCGAAAGGCGAAUUAAUACCGCAUGUGAUCAGAGUGGACAUCCAUCCAAAAUCAAAGUCGGGGCAACCUGACGCUUUUUGAGGGGCCCGCGGCCUAUCAGCUAGUUGGUGAGGUAACGGCCCACCAAGGCUUUGACGGGUAGCUGGUCUGAGAGGACGACCAGCCACACUGGGACUGAGACACGGCCCAGACACCUACGGGUGGCAGCAGUCGAGAAUUUUUCUCAAUGGGGGAAACCCUGAAGGAGCGACGCUGCGUGGAGGAUGAAGGUCUUCGGGUUGUAAACUCCUGUCAUUUGGGAACAAUGCGUAAAUAUUAACUGUAUUUGCGUUGAUAGUACCAGAAGAGGAAGAGACGGCUAACUCUGUGCCAGCAGCCGCAGUAACAC
rnacentral:rRNA from 1 species